UUGUAAUUUUGUUGCUCAUUAUUUCUUUUUCAGAUAAAAUGUCGAGUUUAAGUGCAUUACCAUCAUGCCUCUGCAAUCCAGAUUUUUCUCACAACUAGAGGUCUUAUCUGACAAACUCCAAAACCUGUUUGAGAAGUGGCCAGGUUGGAAGAAAACUGAACAGUACUAUAGGCACCAUGUCAGAAGUGGGUGAUGAUCUUGCAAAAGAGUCUUUUCUAAAAUGACUGGUGGUCUACCUCAAUGAGGACCCACAAAAUCUGGUAGAAGACAAAGCUUUCACCCAAAGUGCUAUUGAGCAGAUCGCUGUUGGGCUCUGUCUUCAAAGAACUAAAGUACUGUACAUGCUUGUGAUACCACAGACGACAUUGGUAUUGUUCUUGAAGGCCAGACAGUAUUACAAUUUUGGGGGGGCAUUUGAAUAUUGGAAAAUGAGAAAGAGCUAUUAUUACUCAAAUUUCAUGUUGUGACGUUGUUUGGGGACACUAAAUCCUUCUUUGUCCAUAGAAUACUUGGUUCCUAAAUGCUGUGUUUCAGGUUCUGAUGUUAAAUGCAAAUUGUUUAUUGCAAAGUUCUUAUGAGAUGUUCUAUUUAUUGUACUGCACUGCAAAAAGCCUUUGACGUAUUCCUUUGUUGUAUAAAUGCACUGAAGUGCAGUUGUAUGAUGCAAGGUAUUUGCAGAUGGAUAUUGUGUUUUGUGGACAUAUGUUAUAGAAUGUACCAGAUAAAGCUGUCUGCCUUUUAAUAUAGACAUUUUGCUACUAACCUUGUUUGGUGUGGUGUUGUUGUAUUUAUGCUGCUACAUGCUGCUGCAGUUAUGCAGUAA